GGGGAUGUAGCUCAGUGGUAGAGCACUUGCCUAGCAUGUACAAGGCCUUGGGUUCAAUCCCCAACACCACUG
rnacentral:tRNA from 1 species